ensembl:lncRNA
AGUGUUGUCCCUGCUCAAGCAGCAUCAGCAUUUCCAGAAAGCUCGUGAGGAAUAGACUCUCAGAGCUCAGCCCAGACCUAAAGAAUCAGAAUCUUCAUUUUAGUCAGAUUCCUGGGGGAUUCAAGUGCGAGAAGCUGCCCUCAGAGGACUUCCUGUAGGUUCAGCUGAUCCGUCUGCUUCCAGGAAGGCAUGCUGGUGUGGCCACUGCACGGUGACAUACUGGACAGCAAAACAGCAAAUGCUGGGAUAGACCGGACCCUUUGACACCCAAGUCUUGUGAACUAGGGGACAGAGCCAAGAAGAGUGAGGUCAGCUUUUCACUGUGGCCUGGUUUUCUCCUCUUCUCUGGAUAAGUGAGAUAACUCAUGGAGCUUCAUGAAUGCUCAGUAGACCUCCUACCUAUAAAUAAUGGGAGAUUUUUCAAUAUUCAGAGAAAAGAAUGAGGAGACCUGAGGGAGAACUAAACAUGUAUCUUCUGCUGUGCGUGGAAAUGAUGAUUUUCAUAAAGAAAAUAAAUGUACAUGCAAUAAAGCCCAGAGAUAUAAAUGCAGAAAUGAAUAACAGGCUCAAGAUUUGAAAAUUGGGAUGCUAGAUGUCAUGCAAUAUGCCUGAGGUUAUAUGUUUAAAGCAAAACUGGAACCACAAUGGAGGCUGGUCAGUCCCAAGUCAGGGAUCCCACUGCUUGCCCUUCCCUUGUUUCGCUUUCUUUGGAGAAGCACCUAGUAUGGAAUCGGACUCAUGAAUCUGGGAAGAGAAAAGCCAAGUUCAAGUCAUGAGGCUCAUUGUAAGAGUUUCCCAAGCAGAACUUCGUUGGGUCUUUCCUGCUGGCUCAGAUGGUAAAGAAUCCGCCUGCAAUGCAGGAGACCCGGGUUCAAUCCCUAGGUCAGGAAAAUCCCCUGGGGGAAUGGCAACCCACUCCAGUAUUCUUGCCUGGAGAAUCCCAUGGACAGAGAAGCCUGGCAGGCUACAGCCUACAAGGUUGCAAAGAAUUGGACAAGACCGAGUGAGU